rnacentral:rRNA from 1 species
UACGAGGGGGGCAAGCGUUGUUCGGAAUUAUUGGGCGUAAAGGGCGCGUAGGCGGUGCGGUAAGUCACCUGUGAAAACUCUGGGCUCAACUCAGAGCCUGCAGGCGAAACUGCCGUGCUUGAGUGUGGGAGAGGUGCGUGGAAUUCCCGGUGUAGCGGUGAAAUGCGUAGAUAUCAGGAGGAACACCAAUGGCGAAGGCAGCUCGCUGGGACGGUACUGACGCUGAGACGCGAAAGCGUGGGGAGCAAACAGG